rnacentral:lncRNA from 1 species
AUGUGGCCAUUCAAGUAUUUGAAUUGUUCAUUGCAAGUGUAUGGAAAUGCAAGUGAUUUUUACAUUGAUCUCACUAAGUCACUAAAUUGCCAGCAUGGACUUCAACUUGUGAUCCUCCUGCCUCAGAAUCCCAGAAUGCUGAAUUAUAGUGUGCACCACCACACCUGGCUCAAAUACUUUUUCUGUCUCUAUGAGAUGACCAUAUGGUUUUGUCUUUUUACUCUACCAAAAUGAUACAGGUCUGGGGAUAUUGCUCAGUGAUACAGUGCCUGCCUGGCAAGCGUGAGGCUCUGGGUUUGAUUUCCGAUACCAAAAAAAAAAAAAAAAAAAAAGAAAAAGAAAAAGAAAUGAUAUAAUGUUAUAGUUAAUGUUGGGGUGUUAAACCAACCUUACAGUCCUAGAAUAUACUCCACUUAGUAUAUAAUUCUUUUUAUAUGUUGUUGGCCUCUAUUUGCUAAUAUAACAAAAUCUGAGCUUUUUAUUUUUUGGCUCUUUGUGUCUCUAUGCAGUUCAGGCUGACCUUGACCUCAAUGUGUAACUCAGCUAGGCUUGAACUCUUGGUGAUCCCCCUGCCUCAGCGUGUAGUGUGGCUGGGAUUUUUGUUUUUUACUGUAUGCUUUUUAUUUUAUGAAAAAAUAAAACAAAUUUUCAUAACCAGAUAAUGAGAAUAACAAUAGUUAUUAUAGUUAUCUUCAAAAUUGUUAAUCAUUGUAAGACAUAAACCAAAAAGAUUCUUACAAAAAAGAAACAAACAGGUAAUAACACAAACUUUUCAACAAAUUAAGAUAAACUACUAAUACAAAUGAAAUGAAUUAGCAUAUAUAUUGAAAUAUUUUUAAACAAUGGAAUAUGUAAUUUGGGAAAGUAUUUGAAUGUCUCCC